rnacentral:rRNA from 1 species
UGGGGAAUAUUGCACAAUGGGCGAAAGCCUGAUGCAGCAACGCCGCGUGAGUGAUGAAGGCCUUCGGGUUGUAAAGCUCUGUCUUUUGGGACGAUAAUGACGGUACCAAGGAGGAAGCCACGGCUAACUACGUGCCAGCAGCCGCGGUAAUACGUAGGUGGCAAGCGUUGUCCGGAUUUACUGGGCGUAAAGGAUGCGUAGGCGGAUUUUUAAGUGAGAUGUGAAAUACCCGGGCUUAACUUGGGUGCUGCAUUUCAAACUGGGAAUCUAGAGUGCGGGAGAGGAGAAUGGAAUUCCUAGUGUAGCGGUGAAAUGCGUAGAGAUUAGGAAGAACACCAGUGGCGAAGGCGAUUCUCUGGACCGUAACUGACGCUGAGGCAUGAAAGCGUGGGUAGCAAACAGGAUUAGAUACCCUGGUAGUCCACGCCGUAAACGAUGAGUACUAGGUGUAGGAGGUAUCGACCCCUUCUGUGCCGCAGUUAACACAAUAAGUACUCCGCCUGGGAAGUACGAUCGCAAGAUU